ACCAGAGGGGGAUACGCAGCUGAGCGAACUAUGAAGCUUCUUGACGUGCGGCGGACGGGUACACGUGGGCAACCUGCCUGAGACUGGGAUAACUUCGGGAAACCGAAGCUAAUACCGGAUAGGAUCUUCUCCUUCAUGGGAGAUGAUUGAAAGAUGGUUUCGGCUAUCACUUACAGAUGGGCCCGCGGUGCAUUAGCUAGUUGGUGAGGUAACGGCUCACCAAGGCAACGAUGCAUAGCCGACCUGAGAGGGUGAUCGGCCACACUGGGACUGAGACACGGCCCAGACUCCUACGGGAGGCAGCAGUAGGGAAUCUUCCGCAAUGGACGAAAGUCUGACGGAGCAACGCCGCGUGAGUGAUGAAGGCUUUCGGGUCGUAAAACUCUGUUGUUAGGGAAGAACAAGUAAGAGUAACUGCUYGUACCUUGACGGUACCUAACCAGAAAGCCACGGCUAACUACGUGCCAGCGCCGGGUAAUACAA
rnacentral:rRNA from 2 species